rnacentral:lncRNA from 1 species
GUCUUUAUUUGUGGUCUUCACAAUAAAGAACUUAAUACUGAACAAAGCAAAGAUCUACUCUUUUAUUGUUAUUUUAACACAGUAGAUAAUACUUGUGGAUUUUGUUGCCUGCCUCUUUAUAGGGAUGUCUCAUCAUGCAGAAUAUUAAACUGGCUGGCAUCAUAUACGAACAAAUGAAGUGAAAGCCUUCCAGUUUCUCGGACGCUUAUUAGGCAGGUUUGUAGUCUGAGGCAUUCGUAUUGUAGGCAAGUGUUCUUCAGUGGUAGAGAAUGUAUAUUUUAAGUGUGAUUUCCAAAUUUUACCAUCUAAGCAAAGCAUAAAUUUUGUUGCUCAUAGAGUAAAAUUACAUCAGUGAUAUCAACAACAAAAAAGAAAACAGACAUCCCCAGUACUGUGACUGAGAAAUAUAUAUUUAUUAACAAAAUAUGUACAGUCCUGACUUCUUAAAAUUCAUGAUCUCUCACUAACUAUAGAGCAUGGGAAGCAGUAAAUUUUCCAAGCAGAAAAUUGGUGUUAGAUUAAAAUUUACUAACUGAAUUGGAAGUUGAUAAGAAAUGCAAGUUCUCAUUAUCAUUCUAAUUAAUUAGGUUGCAAAGAUGGUCCCUUUGCCAAUAUGGGAGCCAAUGAGAAAAGUACUGCACAUUCUUCUUCCAUUAUUCAUUAUAGGCUUUAUAAUAAAAUUUAUAAUACGGUAAAAAAUUUUAUAAUAAAAAUUUAAAUACGUUUUUGCAAAUGGAUGGCUCUGCUUCAGAACUCCUCAUUGAGCUCAUUCACAUGGUACAGUAAGCCAAACUAUGGCUUAUGGAGUCUGUGGGAUCAGACUAAUGUCUACCUAGCAUCCUUUCCAUGAAUCGGCAGGUACAAGGUGGCCAAUUGACAGACCAUAUUCUACCUCCUGCCCAUGUUUGACCGAGAUGAAGCCUAAUGUUCUGCAGCCGCAUACUGCAGUGGAGGUUCAGAAGUGAAAGGAAGUCUCUUUCAAAGAACAUUGCUUAUCACUGCUAGUUUUCUCCUUGAUUGAGCUACAGUAAGCUUCUAGAUAACCUUAUGUUACCACAGAACACAACUUGAAGACGACUAAGACUGUAACUGGCUUGUUGGUUGAUCAUCCCUUGAUGAAACAUGUAGUUGUGCAGGCUGAUCUCCCAAGUGAAAAUAAUCACUGGAAAUAUGCCAUAGCUUGCUUCUUUAAGUUGUUUGAAGUUGUCGUUUAUUGGAUAUCUUGAGUACAGAUUAAUUAAGAAAACUUAGGCACUGUUGAUGUCCACUGGAUUGACAGAGAAGGCAAAAAUAGACUUAAUUAUCUUCCAAAAUCUGCAUUUGUAUUUGAACACUGUAAUUAAGUCAUCAUUUCAUUAGUGGAACAUCAGUGAUAUAACUUUUAAUUGUGCAUUGAGAAUUUUUUGCUUUGGCUGUCUUUAAAAAGGAAUUCUUGAUUAGCUGUUUCCCUCAUUGUACAGCUGCCCAGGUUUUCUCUCUGCUGUGCUAAUGAGCUCAGCCGCUUUCUCCUCUUCACAGGCUCAGAGAGUCCACUGAGGAGUUCCACUUCUUAACUUAGCAGCAUGACAGCCAAUUUUGCUUGUCUCUUCCCCAUGCUGCUCUGGAAACAUGUGAAAUAGGAAAAUCACCUUGAUGGGGUCUAUGCUAAGUUUAUUUCUCACACUGGUGAAACCACUGCCAGGGAGACAUCAGCACUAGUCAUACUACUUCCCCAUUCAUAUGGUCACUCCAUUAGGUAUGUUACCAGAGGAGUAUAGGAAGCAAUGGCCAUGCUUGCAUGAUGCUAUUCCUGGGGCUCUCUCAUCAAAAGUAGCCUGCACAAUUUGUGACCCACCAAGCUGAAGCAGCCUACCAGCCAUGCAUUUAUUUAAUGAUUUGUAACAGCAUCUACAUGCCUCUCAAUAAGUUCGUUCUCUGGGUACCUUACAAACAAUAACAUGUUAAUCUGCAGCCAAAAUACAGAACUAUGCAAGUAAACAAAUCGCACCAUAUAAAGUUUGGUAGCAGAGAGUAAAAAAAGCACAGAAAAAUACAGUGUCUAAAAUGUAUGGUGGACUAUGAUGGGAUUACAUAACCUUCCUUUUCUUUCCAUUUCCUGGAACUGCAAACUUUGGGUGUUGUCAAGCACUGUGCAUGCUACCGUCAGUGGAAGCUGGUCCCCUGGGUCUACUGAGGCACAGUCUUCCCAAGGAGAAUGCUGAGAUUUCAUUUUAUUUUUUAAUCCCUCCAAAAUCUCAAAGCUACAUGCUUUUUCCUGUCUCACCCACAUUUUUUUACUUCUAUUUGAACUCAGAGAAUCUCUGCAAACAUUUCUGACAAUCUUCUGUUCUCUGGCCAUUCAGCUUUCUGUACCGCUCAGGCAAUCCUAAUGCUAUGGCAAAGAGGUCACUCCCAUGUGUCUCUAAGCAGAAAAAACCAUAUGGCUGAUGGGGCUGCUGAAAGGUCAGCCCCAGUAGAAAAGCUCUUACUCUAACUGUUCUUAUGAGGCCCAUCCAACACAGCCACUGUAGCAGAUAUGGAAAGAAUUUAGACUGCUUUAGAAACAGCUAUGCUGUUAUUAGCCUGUUAGAAGCCUCCACUGGUUCUAAGAAUGCUCAUAGCUGUUGCCCUAAAGGACAGAGAUGCAACAAUGAGUUCUUAAUUUAGCAGUUUUGUGCUCGCUAGACCUUUCAGAUGCUGGCUUACAAUUGUGAGCCAUUUUGGUUUGGCAUUUCCUUAGUGCUAUGCCCUCCCCCUCCCCAUAAUGUGUGCUGGGUGCAAUGGCCAAUGUGCUCAUAAUAAUUUAGGAAACCAACCAGCAGCAGCAACUGAGGCUGCAUUUGAAAUGGCAGCACAGAGCCAAUGGCAGAGAAAGUGCUGGAUUCUUCAGCAGAUCAAAUGGAAAAUGGUGUCAAACCAGGUUUCAUGAGCAUUCUCAAGUGUGUGAAGCACAAUAUUUCAACCCAAAAUGUAUGUCUAAUGAAAAUUUCAAUAAAGCCCCAGCUAAGUUUUUCAUUUGGCACCCCUUCUUAUGCACCACGAUUCCCUUUAAAAACAACCUAAGUUCAAACUCCAAGACCUCUUAAUUACAAAUUUAGAUGCAACAUCACUUAUGGAUUAUUCAUGAACUUCUGGUGGGCUUCCCAAUGUUUCCUUCUCAAAAAUUUCAUCCUAUACCUCCAAUAUUUGUUGGAGGGAUUUGCAUAUUUAUUACAAAAAUUACCAUCCCUGUGUUCUAGGAAAUUUCAUUCUAACAUGACUGAAACACAGAUUUAUAUUACAACAACAACUUAAAAAACCAGGCAAGGAGAUAACUUGCUACUCCAAACUGGGAAAAACCAGUUAGAAAACUAACAUUAAAUUCCCUGUGCAGGAGGCCAACAUAACUUGUGACAUGCCAAGCUGAAAAUAGUCCACCUCCGAUGUAUUAUCAAUUCUCACACACCCUAUUUCUGUGGUCCCAGGAAAGAAAUUAUCAAGUUAUGGUUUUUCUCCAUGUAUGAAUCCUGAGCUACAUCUUGGUGGGUCACAAAUUGUAUAAGUCUGGUCUAGAGCUACUUGGAAGUUAGGCAAGCAUAAGUAACACUGAUGGAAGGGAUUGUUGAAUCAGUGUGAGGGAUACCUGAAUAUUGGAAGUGAUGAGUCAAGGUGCCAGAAUGGUGCUUGAUUGUUCCAGAAACUGACGGAGUAUCAAGAUUAUUGUCGAUGAAAGAACCAGACUACUAAAUAGAUGGAUUUUGUCAGGGAACUGAUUUGUAAAUCCGGGGGACUGUCCCCAGGAAAUGGGGAUGUCUGGUAACCUUAGUGUAAAACACUCUUACAUCACUAUAGUAGUCAUGGUUCCUCCCCGCUCCCUGCCAAAUAAUCCUGGUAACUAGUUUGUGAAGGGUGUUGGGAAUUUUAGCUCUGCGGGGGCUGAUUGGAAAAUAAGCACUUCAUAAUAAAAAGGGUAUUUCUGCAGAGGGGUGUGUGUCACAUGUUUUGAAUUCUUCCUCAUGUUGAGGUGUACAUGGAUUGUCACAUAUUCUGAAUUUUCCUCAAAUUGAGAAGGUCUUGUAUGUGGGGCAUGACAUGUAGGAAGAAUGGUAGACUAGAGCCCCAUGCACAAAAGAGUUCCUCAUGUAGGGAUCAUUAGAUUCUGAAGUGACAGAGUCCUAGAAGACAUGUGCCAUGUUUUCUGAAUGUUUGCAUUUGCUGUUAGAUUUGGACCUGACCUUGAUAGGUUAAAUGCAGCAGGUUGUCAAAAGCUUUGAUCUGUAGAACCAUGCAAAGCUACAUUCUUCCUGUUAGAAAGCCCCAACUAUG